UGCAGUCGAACGAUGAUCUCCAGCUUGCUGGGGGGAUUAGUGGCGAACGGGUGAGUAACACGUGAGUAACCUGCCCUUGACUCUGGGAUAAGCCUGGGAAACUGGGUCUAAUACCGGAUAUGACCAUUCCGCGCAUGCGGUGGUGGUGGAAAGCUUUUGCGGUUUUGGAUGGACUCGCGGCCUAUCAGCUUGUUGGUGGGGUAAUGGCCUACCAAGGCGACGACGGGUAGCCGGCCUGAGAGGGUGACCGGCCACACUGGGACUGAGACACGGCCCAGACUCCUACGGGAGGCAGCAGUGGGGAAUAUUGCACAAUGGGCGAAAGCCUGAUGCAGCGACGCCGCGUGAGGGAUGACGGCCUUCGGGUUGUAAACCUCUUUCAGUAGGGAAGAAGCGAAAGUGACGGUACCUGCAGAAGAAGCGCCGGCUAACUACGUGCCAGCAGCCGCGGUAAUACGUAGGGCGCAAGCGUUAUCCGGAAUUAUUGGGCGUAAAGAGCUCGUAGGCGGUUUGUCGCGUCUGCUGUGAAAGACCGGGGCUCAACUCCGGUUCUGCAGUGGGUACGGGCAGACUAGAGUGAUGUAGGGGAGACUGGAAUUCCUGGUGUAGCGGUGAAAUGCGCAGAUACAAGAGGAACACCGAUGGCGAAGGCAGGUCUCUGGGCUUAACUGACGCUGAGGAGCGAAAGCAUGGGGAGCGAACAGAUUAGAUACCCUGGUAGCCAUGCCGUAACGUUGGGACUAGGUGUGGGGGACAUUCCACGUUUCCGCGCCGUACUAAGCAUUAGUGCCCGCCUGGGGAGUACGGCCGCAGGCUAAACUCAAGGAUUGACGGGGCCGCACAGCGGCGGACAUGCGGAUAAUUCAUGCACGCGAGAACUUACAAGGUUGACUGAACGGUACGCUGGAACAGUGCCCGCUGCGUCGGUUACAGUGGUGCUGGUGUCUCACUCGG
rnacentral:rRNA from 1 species